rnacentral:rRNA from 1 species
AAGGUUAGCGGCGGACGGGUGAGUAACACGUGGGCAACCUGCCUGUAAGACUGGGAUAACAUCGGGAAACCGAUGCUAAUACCGGAUAAUCCUUUUCCUCUCAUGAGGAAAAGCUGAAAGUCGGUUUACGCUGACACUUACAGAUGGGCCCGCGGCGCAUUAGCUAGUUGGUGAGGUAACGGCUCACCAAGGCGACGAUGCGUAGCCGACCUGAGAGGGUGAUCGGCCACACUGGGACUGAGACACGGCCCAUACUCCUACGGGAGGCAGCAGUAGGGAAUCUUCCACAAUGGACGAAAGUCUGAUGGAGCAACGCCGCGUGAGCGAUGAAGGCCUUCGGGUCGUAAAGCUCUGUUGUUAGGGAAGAACAAGUAUCGGAGUAACUGCCGGUACCUUGACGGUACCUAACCAGAAAGCCACGGCUAACUACGUGCCAGCAGCCCGCGGUAAUACGUAGGUGGCAAGCGUUGUCCGGAAUUAUUGGGCGUAAAGCGCGCGCAGGCGGUCCUUUAAGUCUGAUGUGAAAGCCCACGGCUCAACCGUGGAGGGUCAUUGGAAACUGGGGGACUUGAGUGCAGAAGAAGAAAGCGGAAUUCCACGUGUAGCGGUGAAAUGCGUAGAGAUGUGGAGGAACACCAGUGGCGAAGGCGGCUUUCUGGUCUGUAACUGACGCUGAGGCGCGAAAGCGUGGGGAGCAAACAGGAUUAGAUCCCCUGGUAGUC